UAAGCGACUAAGCGUACACGGUGGAUGCCCUGGCAGUCAGAGGCGAUGAAGGACGUGCUAAUCUGCGAAAAGCGUCGGUAAGGUGAUAUGAACCGUUAUAACCGGCGAUGUCCGAAUGGGGAAACCCAGUGCAAUUCGUUGCACUAUCGUUAACUGAAUACAUAGGUUAACGAGGCGAACCGGGGGAACUGAAACAUCUAAGUACCCCGAGGAAAAGAAAUCAACCGAGAUUCCCCCAGUAGCGGCGAGCGAACGGGGAGCAGCCCAGAGUCUGAAUCAGCUUGUGUGUUAGUGGAACGGUCUGGAAAGUCCGACGGUACAGGGUGAUAGUCCCGUACACCAAAAUGCACAGGCUGUGAACUCGAAGAGUAGGGCGGGACACGUGGUAUCCUGUCUGAAUAUGGGGGGACCAUCCUCCAAGGCUAAAUACUCCUGACUGACCGAUAGUGAACCAGUACCGUGAGGGAAAGGCGAAAAGAACCCCGGCGAGGGGAGUGAAAAAGAACCUGAAACCGUGUACGUACAAGCAGUGGGAGCACCUUCGGGUGUGACUGCGUACCUUUUGUAUAAUGGGUCAGCGACUUAUAUUCUGUAGCAAGGUUAACCGUAUAGGGGAGCCGCAGGGAAACCGAGUCUUAACUGGGCGUUAAGUUGCAGGGUAUAGACCCGAAACCCGGUGAUCUAGCCAUGGGCAGGUUGAAGGUUGGGUAACACUAACUGGAGGACCGAACCGACUAAUGUUGAAAAAUUAGCGGAUGACUUGUGGCUGGGGGUGAAAGGCCAAUCAAACCGGGAGAUAGCUGGUUCUCCCCGAAAGCUAUUUAGGUAGCGCCUCGUGAACUCAUCUUCGGGGGUAGAGCACUGUUUCGGCUAGGGGGUCAUCCCGACUUACCAACCCGAUGCAAACUACGAAUACCGAAGAAUGUUAUCACGGGAGACACACGGCGGGUGCUAACGUCCGUCGUGAAGAGGGAAACAACCCAGACCGCCAGCUAAGGUCCCAAAGUCAUGGUUAAGUGGGAAACGAUGUGGGAAGGCACAGACAGCCAGGAUGUUGGCUUAGAAGCAGCCAUCAUUUAAAGAAAGCGUAAUAGCUCACUGGUCGAGUCGGCCUGCGCGGAAGAUGUAACGGGGCUAAACCAUGCACCGAAGCUGCGGCAGCGACACUAUGUGUUGUUGGGUAGGGGAGCGUUCUGUAAGCCUGCGAAGGUGUGCUGUGAGGCAUGCUGGAGGUAUCAGAAGUGCGAAUGCUGACAUAAGUAACGAUAAAGCGGGUGAAAAGCCCGCUCGCCGGAAGACCAAGGGUUCCUGUCCAACGUUAAUCGGGGCAGGGUGAGUCGACCCCUAAGGCGAGGCCGAAAGGCGUAGUCGAUGGGAAACAGGUUAAUAUUCCUGUACUUGGUGUUACUGCGAAGGGGGGACGGAGAAGGCUAUGUUAGCCGGGCGACGGUUGUCCCGGUUUAAGCAUGUAGGCUGAUUGUCCAGGCAAAUCCGGAUAAUCAAGGCUGAGGUGUGAUGACGAGGCACUACGGUGCUGAAGUAACAAAUGCCCUGCUUCCAGGAAAAGCCUCUAAGCAUCAGGUAACAUCAAAUCGUACCCCAAACCGACACAGGUGGUCAGGUAGAGAAUACCAAGGCGCUUGAGAGAACUCGGGUGAAGGAACUAGGCAAAAUGGUGCCGUAACUUCGGGAGAAGGCACGCUGGUGUGUAGGUGAAGUCCCUGCGGAUGGAGCUGAGACCAGUCGAAGAUACCAGCUGGCUGCAACUGUUUAUUAAAAACACAGCACUGUGCAAACACGAAAGUGGACGUAUACGGUGUGACGCCUGCCCGGUGCCGGAAGGUUAAUUGAUGGGGUUAUCCGUAAGGAGAAGCUCUUGAUCGAAGCCCCGGUAAACGGCGGCCGUAACUAUAACGGUCCUAAGGUAGCGAAAUUCCUUGUCGGGUAAGUUCCGACCUGCACGAAUGGCGUAAUGAUGGCCAGGCUGUCUCCACCCGAGACUCAGUGAAAUUGAACUCGCUGUGAAGAUGCAGUGUACCCGCGGCAAGACGGAAAGACCCCGUGAACCUUUACUAUAGCUUGACACUGAACAUUGAGCCUUGAUGUGUAGGAUAGGUGGGAGGCUUUGAAGCGUGGACGCCAGUCUGCGUGGAGCCAACCUUGAAAUACCACCCUUUAAUGUUUGAUGUUCUAACGUUGGCCCCUGACCGGGGUUGCGGACAGUGUCUGGUGGGUAGUUUGACUGGGGCGGUCUCCUCCCAAAGCGUAACGGAGGAGCACGAAGGUUAGCUAAUCCUGGUCGGACAUCAGGAGGUUAGUGCAAUGGCAUAAGCUAGCUUGACUGCGAGCGUGACGGCGCGAGCAGGUGCGAAAGCAGGUCAUAGUGAUCCGGUGGUUCUGAAUGGAAGGGCCAUCGCUCAACGGAUAAAAGGUACUCCGGGGAUAACAGGCUGAUACCGCCCAAGAGUUCAUAUCGACGGCGGUGUUUGGCACCUCGAUGUCGGCUCAUCACAUCCUGGGGCUGAAGUAGGUCCCAAGGGUAUGGCUGUUCGCCAUUUAAAGUGGUACGCGAGCUGGGUUUAGAACGUCGUGAGACAGUUCGGUCCCUAUCUGCCGUGGGCGCUGGAGAAUUGAGGGGGGCUGCUCCUAGUACGAGAGGACCGGAGUGGACGCAUCACUGGUGUUCGGGUUGUCAUGCCAAUGGCACUGCCCGGUAGCUAAAUGCGGAAGAGAUAAGUGCUGAAAGCAUCUAAGCACGAAACUUGCCCCGAGAUGAGUUCUCCCUGAGACUUUAAGUCUCCUGAAGGAACGUUAAAGACGAUGACGUUGAUAGGCCGGGUGUGUAAGCGCAGCGAUGCGUUGAGCUAACCGGUACUAAUGAACCGUGAGGCUUAACCU
rnacentral:rRNA from 2 species